rnacentral:rRNA from 1 species
AGUGAACGCUGGCGGUAGGCCUAACACAUGCAAGUCGAACGGCAACACAGUAAGAGCUUGCUCUUACGGGUGGCGAGUGGCGGACGGGUGAGGAAUAUAUCGGAAUCUACUUUUUAGUGGGGGAUAACGUAGGGAAACUUACGCUAAUACCGCAUACGGCCUACGGGGGAAAGCAGGGGAACUUUGGACCUUGCGCGAUUGAAUGAGCCGAUGUCGGAUUAGCUAGUUGGCGGGGUAAAGGCCCACCAAGGCGACGAUCCGUAGCUGGUCUGAGAGGAUGAUCAGCCACACUGGAACUGAGACACGGCCCAGACUCCUACGGGGGGCAGCAGUGGGGAAUAUUGGACAAUGGGCGCAAGCCUGAUCCAGCAAUGCCGCGUGGGUGAAGAAGGCCUUCGGGUUGUAAAGCCCUUUUGUUGGGAAAGAAAAGCAGCAGGUUAAUACCCCGCUGUUCUGACGGUACCCAAAGAAUAAGCACCGGCUAACUUCGUG